rnacentral:tRNA from 1 species
AAGUAAGAAGCAAUAUUUUAUGCAUUUAAUUUCGACUUAAAAAUAGAGUAAAUUAAUACUCCUUACUUU